rnacentral:rRNA from 1 species
AUUGAACGCUGGCGGCAGGCCUAACACACGCAAGUCGAACGGUAACAGGAAGAAGCUUGCUUCUUUGCUGACGAGUGGCGGACGGGUGAGUAAUGUCUGGGAAACUGCCUGAUGGAGGGGGAUAACUACUGGAAACGGUAGCUAAUACCGCAUAACGUCGCAAGACCAAAGAGGGGGACCUUCGGGCCUCUUGCCAUCGGAUGUGCUCAGAUGGGAUUAGCUAGUAGGUGGGGUAACGGCUCACCUAGGCGACGAUCCCUAGCUGGUCUGAGAGGAUGACCAGCCACACUGGAACUGAGACACGGUCCAGACUCCUAAGGGAGGCAGCAGUGGGGAAUAUUGCACAAUGGGCGCAAGCCUGAUGCAGCCAUGCCGCGUGUAUGAAGAAGGCCUUCGGGUUGUAAAGUACUUUCAGCGGGGAGGAAGGGAGUAAAGUUAAUACCUUUGCUCAUUGACGUUACCCGCAGAAGAAGCACCGGCUAACUCCGUGCCAGCCGCCGCCGUAA